ACGAGGAUGUUCCAUCGGUAAGUCGACUAGAACAAAAACACAGAUUUUGGCGUAGUCUCUUAGUUGAUGUUCCACCGGAAGAAAAAGGAAGCCACCUCGCCACUCUCCAGCACCAUCCCCAACCUUGCGAGGAGGAUUCCGUUAGCCACGAUGUCCUCCAACUUCUUCAGAACCUCAAACCUACUCCCUCUCAACUUUAAAUCCUUCCUCUUGAUCCUCUCCCUCCUUCUCAACCUCUACCUCCUCCUCUACCGCCGGCACUCAUUUGCCCCUACCCCAUUGGUAAUCUCGCGAGACACUGCCUCUCCGACCACUCGCCACCACCUCGUCUUCGCUGUUGCUUCGUCGUCUGUGUCUUGGCCCAAAAGGAGAUCCUAUGUUCGCCUCUGGUUUUCCCCCAAUUCCACUCGAGCAUUUGCCUUCCUGGACGCUCCCGUCGCGAAUGAGUCUUCUUUGUUGCCAGAUAUGCCGCCGGUGGUGGUUUCCGCCGAUACCUCGAAGUUCCCGUAUACUUUCAAAAGAGGGCUUCGAUCGGCGAUUCGGGUUGCGCGCGUGGCUAAGGAGGUGGUUGAUCGGAAUGAACCGGAUGUGAGGUGGUAUGUUUUUGGUGAUGACGAUACAGUGUUUUUCGUGGACAAUUUGGUGAAAACUCUGUCGAAAUACGAUCAUGAUAGGUGGUUCUAUAUAGGGAGCAAUUCAGAGAGCUAUGAGCAGAAUGUAAAGAACUCUUUCGAGAUGGCAUUUGGUGGGGGAGGUUUCGCCAUUAGCCAUUCUCUUGCCAAGGUCUUAGCUGGGGUUUUGGACUCGUGUUUGAGGAGGUAUGCCCAUUUAUACGGAAGCGAUGCGAGGAUUUAUUCAUGUGUAGCAGAGCUUGGCAUUGGGUUGACUCACGAACCUGGGUUCCAUCAGGUAGACUUGAGGGGGACUUUAUUAGGGCUGUUGGCAGCACAUCCAUUAUCUCCUAUAUUGUCACUUCAUCACUUGGAUGUGGUGGAGCCGCUCUUUCCUAGUAUGAACAACACACAAGCUUUGGAGCACCUUUUUACAGCUGCUAAUGCUGAUCCUCACAGGAUCUUGCAACAAGCUGUCUGCUAUGACCGAUCAAAUUCAUUGACUUUCUCAGUUUCAUGGGGAUUUGCAAUCCAGGUUUUUCAAGGCAACGAAUUUCUCCCAGAUGUUCUUUCAGUGCAGAGAACGUUUACACCAUGGAAUAGGGGCAGAAUUGCUGAUGCUCAUUUUAUGUUUAACCUGAGAGACUAUCCAAAAGAUCCCUGCAGGAGACCUUCUAUAUUUUUCCUGAGAAGUGUUACAACUACUAGAAAGGGCAUUUGGACCAACUACACCAGGCAUGUUGUUGGCCACUGUUUUGAAUCAAACCCUUUGAAGCAGCUGAAACAGAUCAAGGUUUUUGCAAGGAAGUUAGAGCUUGAUAUUGAGCAGAUGAAGGCCCCUCGUCGACAGUGCUGUAAUGUCUUGCCAAAUUCUGGGGAAUCAAUGAUCAUUCAUAUUGGACAUUGUGGAACUAAGGAACUGAUCUCCAUGAAAUACUAGCAUUCUUUUUGGGAGUUGCUAUGCUUAGGCUCCAGAUAUUUUGUGACCUGUGAGUCUGGAGGCAUCUGACCAUCUCGAAGUUAAACGGGUACCAGACGACCAUUUACUUGAAGACGAAGAUCGGAUUAUAGUUAAGGCGACAGAUUAUGGUGAGGUGCUCCUGCCCAAAAAGUACUAACCCUCUCAACUCUCCACAGUUACGUGGCCCUUUUGCUGCUUGGCCCAUUGCUAUAUGCUUUCCAAAUGCUUUAUCCCGCUGCAAUUCUUUACUUUAUAGCAUACUUUUCUUUCCUCUUUUGAUGCUGGCGAAGAAGCUACACGUAGUUUUGAGUUUUACGUGCCAAGCCACUCAACUUAGGACCCUUUUUUUUUUUUUUUUUUUAAUAACGGGAAUUUGAUCUUAUUGAGGAUCAUGUACGAAAGUUGGCUGUAAACGGCAGCAUGCACACUGUAAAGAAGGUGCAUCACGCAUGACCUUGUAUUAAGCAAAGAAUCAGUUUAACGCAUUUAUUCAGUUCA